UGGUAAAAAAUGUUCAAUAAAAUUUCAAGCAUUGAAAAGAACUUACAAAGCAAUUAAAGAUCACAAUAAUCGAUCGGGAAAUGAUACAAAAAAAUGGGAAUAUUUUGAUGUAAUGGAUAAUAUAUUUAGUAAAAAGCCUUAGGUACAACCCUUAUCAGUUACAGGAACAAGUGUCGAUAUAUCUGCAACUUCUUCAGGAGAACAAAAUGAUCAACAAUCAGCAACAUCAAAGAGAAAAUCAAACGUAGAAAAAUAUAUGGAAAAAUU